AAGAUGCCGAUAGCGAUGGCACGUGCGACGCAACGGACGGCUGUCCCAACGACCCGAGCAAGAUCGCCGCGGGUGCAUGUGGUUGCGGCGCGGCCGAGACGGAUAGUGAUUCCGAUGGCACCCCGAACUGCAUCGACGGCUGCCCGGCCGACCCGAACAAGAUCGCUCCGGACGUUUGCGGUUGCGGCGUGGCCGAUACCGACAGUGAUGGCGACGGCACUCCGAACUGCAACGACCUCUGCCCCAAUGAUCCCUUCAAGGCCGCGCCAGGCGUGUGUGGUUGUGGCAUCGCCGAUACCGACAGCGAUGGCGACGGCACUCCGAACUGCAACGACCUCUGCCCCAAUGAUCCCUUCAAGAUCGCG
rnacentral:misc_RNA from 1 species